GGAAAAUUCAGUUUAGGGUUUAAAACCCUAAUGCUGAUUGCAUGAAAAAGCUCAGUUUAGGGUUUUAAAACCCUAAUGCUAGCUGAAAGGAAAAGUUCAGUUUAGGGUUUAAAACCCUAAUGCUGAUUGCAUGGAAAAGCUCAGUUUAGGGUUUAAAACCCUAAUGCUGGCUGAAAGGAAAAUUCAGUUUAGGGUUUAAAACCCUAAUGCUGAUUGCAUGGAAAAACUCAGUUUAGGGUUUAAAACCCUAAUACUGGCUGAAAGGAAAAAGUUCAGUUUAGGGUUAAAAACCCUAAUGCUGAUCGGCUGGGGAUAAAGUUCGAGAAUACUACACGAUCUAUUUUUUUUGAGUUUUCUUGUUUUAAUAGAAGAUAAAAGGGAGUUUUGCGGGAACUUACCUUUUGAGUGAAUCCCUCAUUGCCGAAGUGCUUCCUGUAUCCGUGUACCUUCUUCUUUGGGCGACACCUGCUUCUUGCACGGUUGUCUUGGAUUAGACCUGUUUCAACUUUUGAGUGAAUCCCUCAUUGCCAAAGUGCUUCCUGUAUCCGUGUACCUUCUUCUUUGGGCGACACCUGCUUCUUGCAUGGUUGUCUUGGAUUAGACAUGUUUCAACUUUUCAAACAAAGAAUCAUUUGUUAGUUCGGAAAUGACGGUCGGUUCGGUGACCUUGAUCGUUCCCAAUUGCUUUGCUGCGUCUCUAUUUCUGUUGCGAAGUCCCGCCACUGAUUUGAUUCGAAUGGCGAAACCUUUAGACUGCUCAGGCUGGUAUUUCCGGAUUCUGUGAUGACUUGCUUCGUAAGGCUCUUUUUUCUUCUUUUU
rnacentral:lncRNA from 1 species